rnacentral:rRNA from 1 species
GCCCUUCAGAGGGGGACAACAGUUGGAAACGACUGCUAAUACCGCAUACGAUCCAAUCUCGGCAUCGAGAAUGGAUGAAAGGUGGCCUCUAUUUAUAAGCUAUCACUGAAGGAGGGGAUUGCGUCUGAUUAGCUAGUUGGAGGGGUAACGGCCCACCAAGGCGAUGAUCAGUAGCCGGUCUGAGAGGAUGAACGGCCACAUUGGGACUGAGACACGGCCCAGACUCCUACGGGAGGCAGCAUG